rnacentral:rRNA from 2 species
GGGGGCUAGCCGUGGUUGGAUUUACUGGGCGUAAAGCGCACGUAGGCGGGCUAAUAAGUCAAGGGUGAAAUCCCGGGGCUCAAUCCCUCGGAACUGCCUUUGAUACUGUUAGUCUUGAGUAUGGUAGAGGUGAGUGGAAUCCCGAGUGUUGAGGGGAAAUUCGUAGAUAUUCGGAGGAACACCAGUGGCGGAGGGGGCUCACUGGACCAUUACUGACGGUGAGGUGCGAAAGCGUGGGGAGCAAACAGAAUUAGAUAACCUGGUAGUCCACCCCGUAAACGAUGAAUGUUAGCCUUUGGGGAGUUUAUUCUUCGGUGGCGCAGCUAACGCAUUAAACAUUCCGCCUGGGGAGUACGGUCGCAAGAUUAAAAUUCAAAGGAAUUGACGGGGGCCCGCACAAGCGGUGGAGCAUGUGGUUUAAUUUGAAGCAACGCGCAGAACCUUACCAGCCCUUGACAUCCCGAUCGCGGUUAGUGGAGACACUAUCCUUCAGUUCGGCUGGAUCGGAGACAGGUGCUGCAUGGCCGUCGUCAGCUCGUGUCGUGAGAUGUUGGGUUAAGUCCCGCAACGAGCGCAACCCUCGCCCUUAGUUGCCAGCAUUCAGUUGGGCACUCUAAGGGGACUGCCGGUGAUAAGCCGAGAGGAAGGUGGGGAUGACGUCAAGUCCUCAUGGCCCUUACGGGCUGGGCUACACACGUGCUACAAUGGUGGUGACAGUGGGCAGCGAGCACGCGAGUGUGAGCUAAUCUCCAAAAGCCAUCUCAGUUCGGAUUGCACUCUGCAACUCGAGUGCAUGAAGUUGGAAUCGCUAGUAAUCGCGGAUCAGCAUGCCGCGGUGAAUACGUUCCCGGGCCUGGUACACACCAGCCGUCACCCCAC